GGGUGUGAGAUGAUCUGGCCGUGACACCCCAGCCAGAGGGGUGGCUCUGUCACCCCACUGAUCACCAGGGUUGAUGUGGCUGCUCUCACGGCUCCAUGUGAGUCCCUCCCAGAGCUGCACGCUCGGUCAAAGACAGCACCCCCGAGAGAGGAGGACCGUGUCCUUGGUCAAGGGCAUACGGACAGCUGCACUUCCCUGCUACAACCUCCAAACGAGCUCUCCAGAAAGUGACCAGCAUGAUGGGAUAAGGGAAUUCAAAGCAAGGGGCAGUUAUUUUAAUGGGCGUUCAUGGCAAUGUGUCUUUUA
ensembl:misc_RNA 7SK 7SK RNA